rnacentral:rRNA from 1 species
UUUCGGAGCUAACGCGUUAAGUAGACCGCCUGGGGAGUACGGUCGCAAGAUUAAAACUCAAAUGAAUUGACGGGGGCCCGCACAAGCGGUGGAGCAUGUGGUUUAAUUCGAUGCAACGCGAAGAACCUUACCUACUCUUGACAUCCAGAGAAGCCAGCGGAGACGCAGGUGUGCCUUCGGGAACUCUGAGACAGGUGCUGCAUGGCUGUCGUCAGCUCGUGUCGUGAGA